AAGGUGAUGAUUCAAUUGAUGAUACAUUAAAAUUUUUUUUCUAAUUAUCAUCCUGCUUUGGCCAAAGACUUCUAGAAUCACCAUCCUAUAAGAUCACAUAAUAUGUUCGCUCCCCUUAUUAGGAAUGAUUGAUCUCUUAUUGAUCACUCACAACCUCCAUACAUACUUCACCAUAUCCAGAACACCCCACAUAAGGAUCAGAGAACCAAGUAAGGUAGUGAAUCAAAAUAUGGAUCCAUGUACACAAGGUACCAUGGUGAUCUCAGGUUAAAAGAUCACUUACACAACUCCCACUAGAGAAUUAUCAAU
rnacentral:lncRNA from 1 species